GCGUCUGCCUCUGCUGUGAGUCUCCUUCAUGUUUCAUGUAUUAUCUGUGUUUCCACCACUGGAGGGCGCUGUGGGUUAUUGAUGUGUGGGAACAGUAACCAAUCACUGCAGUCUGAAUGCUUCUCUUUGGUCAUGUGACCAUUUGAUCUCUGAUCAGUGUGUUCUUCAGUUUCAGGCCUGUUUCUGCUGACUGCUGCAGGUGUGUGUGUGCUGCUGCUGUCUGCUCUGGCUGUUCCUGCAGCUCCUCCUCCCUCUGAGCUCAGACUCUUCUGCCAUCUAGUGGUCUUCUGUCCGUACUGCAUCUCCACCGGUCUGCUGCUGUCCAUCUGCUGGAGCAGGAAGAACAAACCAGCCGUCUCCAUGGAGAUGACCCAGCGUGAUGGAGGUCAGGGAUUGGACAGAGAGUAUGAUGAUGUCACCACUGAGCAUGCCUUCUGAGCUGUGGAGCCUGUUAGUGUUUAAGCUGCAGAUGAUGAUUUUUCACUGCUGGUAAAGACUUCACUGGUCUUUAACUUCUUCUUCAAACUCUUCCACUGGACUGCUCCACAUCAGCUCACAGUUGUUCAUAUUUGUUGUAAACUGACUCCUCCUCCCACUGUUCCACAGCCAGGAGUGUUUAUGAUGGAGCAGCUGCUGCAGCCACAUUUAUGGAGGGUCGGGAGUGCCAACAUGAAUUAAAGAAAUACACCAAUAAUUUUUUUAUUUAAAUGUUUCAUUAAUUU